CUUCGUAUCUUUGGAGUCAAGUCCCCUAACCCGUGUCGACGAAAGCUAGUCGGCAGUCUACCUUGGGGUAUGCCCACGGUAGUAGUUUAUCGGUAGACGGUGCGCAAGCUACGAACUCGAUGGUGACGCAAGACACAGACAAGGUUUUUAUCCAGGUUCGGCCACCGUGUGGGCGUAAUACCUACGUCCUGCGUCUGAUUGUAUUGGAUUGUGUUGAGAGAAUAAUGUGUAUGCCUGUCCUCUAGGGGACCCCUGCCCCUCCUUAUAUAUCGUGAAGGGACAGAGUUACAAGUAAACCAUCCUAUUUGGUACAAUAUCUUGUAGCCUUGCGGUGCACGUCGACCAGCGUCAUGCGCUGCACGUCUUCGUCUUGUGGGCCGAGCCACCUCUGAUGGUGCGGCCCACAUCGGCCCAUGAGGGUAUAGGGGUUUAUACCCCCACAUCUAGUCCCCGAGCACCAUGUAUUGUGAUGUAACACGUCGUCUUGAGCUUCUUCGACCAGUGAGACUUGACGUCUUCAAUAAGCAGGAAAGUUGCCCAAACAGUUGCAAUGGUAUUUUAAUCAACUCAAAAGACUCUGAUCAACAUUGACAUCGAAGAAGCAGGUUGUUCGAAGAAUGUAUGGUGCUCUAAAACAAAAAAGAUUUCUUUUCUGGUGAAGUGUGCCCACUUUACUUUUCUGAAAAGUACAGACUUUCAAAAAGCAAGCAUGUUCACCGCAAGGUGAAGUGUGCCCACUUAGUCCCCGAGCCUGGUACUAGGUGACGUAGGCACGUGGUGCCAGGGUCAAAAAAGUCUUCAUAGAAAUUCUAAAACUGAGAUGCAUCGCCAGAUGCAUCGUACCGAUGUAGUCCCCGAGCUUGCUGGAAGGCGAAGUAUGAGCCUUGUAGCAAGGUCUAAAAAAAAUAAAAUUACCCCUUAGUUGUAUAUGAGUCCAAUUCAUAUAUAACUGAGAAGAACAGUCCCCAAACUGUGGUUGGAGAGUGAUCGAAGCAAGCCCCGAGCAUAGUGAAGGGAGUGAUUGACGAGUCCCCGAGCACGGUUGAGAAAGUAGACGUGCUCGGUGGUCGGUACAGUCCCCGAGCACGGCGUAGGGACUGGUGGACAAGUCCCCGAGCGUGGAUGGGAACGUAAACGUGCUCGGUGGUCGGCACAAUCUUCAAGCACCGCGUAGAGAGUAGUCGACAAGUCCUCGAGCGUGGUUGGGAACGUAAACGUGCUCGGUGGUCGGAGCAGUUCCCGAGCACAGCGUAGGGAAUAGUCGACGAGUCCCCGAGCGUAGCUUGUCGACUGGGCCAAACUCCUGAAAAAUAAAUAUAGAGAAUAGGUAGUACAUAAUGUAUAAAUAAACUUUAGAUAAAAAAUCAGUACUGAGAUAAGUUUUAGAUUUUUUGUUAUAAAAUUAGCACGAGUAGUUAAUUCGUCCUAGAGCUUGUACCAGCUUUGGUUUAGCCAACAAUCAGCAUGAGGUGCGGAACCUAGACACGCGUGGGAUUGCCAGCCUCGCCAGAGAGCUACUGCCGACCACCCGGAACGCAGAGGGCGGAUCUCAUGCACGUGUAGGGAGGAGUCGGAGACAGUACCGACUCUGGAAAACUCGUGUAGGAGAAAAAACUAGUCGGCUAACCAAAAAGUUGUUUUGAAGGAUAAUAAAAAAUAUUAUGCCAAAAAUAAAUAAAAUAUUAGAAGUAUACUUAUCUUUGGACGAAAGUCUGGUUGGUGACGAUAAAAUUGUCUGGCCCUCGAGCUUUUUGACUUGUUGUCGUGACGGUGGUUGUUGGCGGUCCUUAAAGCUCACAUUUAACCAUCAACUAAUCAUGGAAAAGGAUCCAAAUGCAAUCAACACCUAGACUUAGGGUUUUAUCUGACAGAAUUCCAUGAGUUUUGGUGUUUGUCUAUUUCUGCAGGGGUUUAUCAGGAAAUACGGAAGAAAGGCCCACACGUCGGGUUUACAUAGAGAUAUUAACGUGCCGCACAAUUUUCUAUCAUGUAGAAGACUCCAGAAGCCACGGGACCGAAGCGGAGGCCGAGAGGACUCAGGGACAGGGCGCCCGCCCUCCUCUCCUGGGCGCCCGCCCUCACAUAGAGUCCAAUCAGGACUCUCUUUCGAGAUAUUGCUCCACCGACCUAAAGGAUCAAGGAUAACCAUUCAAUCAAUGUCGGUUUGAUCCAACGGCCCAGAUUCAUCUGAAAAGACUAUAUAAGCAAGGCCCCUGGCCCCUGGAGAUCAUACCUCUUCUACAGAAUCAAAGCUAGGGUUUCAAUUCUUCAUCCAAGUAGAGAGGAUCCCUCUAGUUCUUCUAGUUCUACCUCUAGUUCAUCUAGAUCUAGUUCUAGUUCAUCUAGUUCUAGUUCUAGAUCUAGUUCUUUUAGUUCUAGUUCUAGUUAGUUCUAGUUGUAAUCUAGAAAAUAGGGAGAGAGAAGAGGAGAGCGGAGGAGGAGGAGCCGGAUCUGUCGGAUCUUCCUCAACAUUGUACUUUUGCAGCAACUGGUUCGUCCUUCAUCGUUCUCCAUGUUCUUCAAUUCAUAAUUCCUGAGUUCUUUAAUUACUUUAAUUUACAUUCAAGUUAUUUAUUGCAUUUCCGCUUGCAUCAAGUGCUCUAGUCUUUAUAACGCUAGAGUAGUAAUUAAUAGAUUAGACGUGGUGUUUAGUCUUCCAAUUACCUGGAAUUGCACCCAAUCCUGCGGAUUGUUGUGGUAGCCCUAGGGUAGUCACAGCCCUAACGGUCGACGUAUUCCACCUCGUUUGGAUCAGUGUUUGUAGGACCGUAGUCAGACCUUCCUAGCCCCCUUCUCAUCUCUUUCUGUGGUUAGUGCUCUGAUGUCCCGAUUUAGAUAAUCUUGAAGUAAUUCUUGAUUCUUAGAUCAACUAGAGAACUCUCAAGAAACUUCCUCUCUUCCCACCAAAAAUAAUUAUAUAGUUAUCCUUGGGCGAUCUUGGAUCUUAAUUAGUACACUCACGUUCUCUGUGGAAAAUCGAUACUCUGGAAUACUCCCGGGUGAAGGCUACAUCGGUAUCCGUGUGUUUGCGUUUAAAAUACCCAACAGUGGUCGCGGUUGUCGUAGCGCCGUUCUUCGCGGCGAUUAUUAUUGCGACUCGUGGUCAGAGCAAGUAGGCCAAACAACUUGGUCGAUAGCCCGAGCAGGUCGGUAUCGUCGAUCUGCCUCCCUUUGUAGCAGAGAAGCGGCGACGCGUUGUCGGCGUGGUCGGAGACGUUGCUGGUGUGGUCGAAGCCGUAGCCAGCGUGGUUGGAGCUGCAGCCGACGUCGCUGAAGAAGUGAUCGGCACAGAUCGGAUCUACGCCUCCUUCGCGGUCGUGGUGGUGAAGCUGUUGAAGCUGACGGUGAACGUGAAGCCGCCCGCCAUGGCCGCGAAGUCAGGGAUGAUGGCCAUCUUGUUCGUCUGGGAAGCUGUACGCACACCCUCUACCUGGCGCGCCACUAUCGACGAAAGCUAGUCGGCAGUCUACCUUGGGGUAUGCCCACGGUAGUAGUUUAUCGGUAGACGGUGCGCAAGCUACGAACUCGAUGGUGACACAAGACACAGACAAGGUUUUUAUCCAGGUUCGGCCACCGUGUGGGCGUAAUACCUACGUCCUGCGUCUGAUUGUAUUGGAUUGUGUUGAG
rnacentral:lncRNA from 1 species